rnacentral:lncRNA from 1 species
CAUUUCUGCAUGGCAAAAUAAAGACUGUCCUAUAUGAAUUAUUCAUUGUUAUCCUUUAUGUGUUUUCACAGAAGUCAAGGACUUUUUACCUGAAUCUUUGAAGAACUUAUUUGAUUUAAUAAAUGGAACUCUGAGAUUUUCAGGGAAACUCAGGAAAGGAUCACGCUGUCUACAUCCAGGUAUUGCCAUUACCAGUUGGCACCAGCUCUGCCCUGAGUCCAUUUUGAAAGUCAUAUUUUCAAAAACUUCAUCAAGAAUCUCAUCCUAUUUACUUGGGCAGGAAAGCCUAUUACUCCUAUCCUACAGGUUAUAG